rnacentral:rRNA from 1 species
GAUGAAUGCUGGCGGCGUGCUUAACACAUGCAAGUCGAACGAUGAAGCCCAGCUUGCUGGGUGGAUUAGUGGCGAACGGGUGAGUAACACGUGAGUAACCUGCCCUUAACUCUGGGAUAAGCCUGGGAAACUGGGUCUAAUACCGGAUAGGAGCGCCUACCGCAUGGUGGGUGUUGGAAAGAUUUAUCGGUUUUGGAUGGACUCGCGGCCUAUCAGCUUGUUGGUGAGGUAAUGGCUCACCAAGGCGACGACGGGUAGCCGGCCUGAGAGGGUGACCGGCCACACUGGGACUGAGACACGGCCCAGACUCCUACGGGAGGCAGCAGUGGGGAAUAUUGCACAAUGGGCGAAAGCCUGAUGCAGCGACGCCGCGUGAGGGAUGACGGCCUUCGGGUUGUAAACCUCUUUCAGUAGGGAAGAAGCGAAAGUGACGGUACCUGCAGAAGAAGCACCGGCUAACUACGUG